UGCUUUAGUGUUCUAAGCAUUUUCCUAUAAAUAGGGUGCUUAGGUUAGAAUUGAAAAUUACACUAGAAACUAAAGUUUUCUCUCUCUUUCUCUCUCGAUAUAUUGAGCGUAUUCUUGUGAGUAUUUUGAUACUUUGAGUGUUGUUAUACGGUGCAAGUUCCCUUCAGCACUAUAUUCAGUAUUUCAGCUAGAAGUAUUAUUCUUUCGAGGUAAGGGAUAUUAUUUUUUUUGAAAAUGAUAUUAUUUCUU
rnacentral:lncRNA from 1 species